rnacentral:tRNA from 1 species
GGGGAUGUAGCUCAGUGGUAGAGUGUUUGCCUGGCAAGUAUGAUGCCCAGGGUUCUAUCCCCAGCACCA